rnacentral:rRNA from 1 species
CUAAGAAUAUUCCGCAAUGGACGAAAGUCUGACGGAGCGACGCCGCGUGGAUGAUGAAGGCCGAAAGGUUGUAAAAUCCUUUUGUUGGGGAAGAAUAACCAGGGGAGGGAAUGCCCUUGGGAUGACAUGAACCGACGAAUAAGCCCCGGCUAACUACGUGCCAGCAGCCGCGGUAACACGUAGGGGGCGAGCGUUGUUCGGAAUUACUGGGCGUAAAGGGCAUGUAGGCGGCCUGAUAAGCCUGGCGUGAAAGUCCACGGCUCAACCGUGGGAUUGCGUCGGGAACUGUUGGGCUUGAGUCACGGAGGGGAAGGUAGAAUUCCUGGUGUAGGGGUGAAAUCUGUAGAGAUCAGGAAGAAUACCAGUGGCGAAGGCGACCUUCUGGCCGAUGACUGACGCU